GACCUGGUGGUGGAGGGUAUCACAUCCGCACUCAGUGAAGAAUAAAUCUAACUGGCAUUUCUGCGGAAGUCCCUGGUUCGAAUCCAGGCUAGGUCG